GGAUGUUUGCAAACAAGCGAGGAGACGACUUGCGGACCAGACGGCGCGGACGUGUUUGUACCCGGAGCCUCUCCGUGGAAGAGCGCGUUCGUCGCGACCCUGCCGCCGCUGCUGUUGGUCCUCGCGGCGCUGGCGCUGGGCGUCCUCCAGAAGCAGCGGAGAAGCCGAGAAAAGCUGAGGAAGCAGGAGGAGAAGAGACAAGGUGAGCGGGGACAGGGCGUUCUGCACCCACCUGCCCAGGUGCCAAAACCCGCCGUCAUCUAAAGGCUGCGGGUCCCGUUACGAGGGUUUAUUCCAGCGCGAGGUGUCAGGGCGGCCACCGGGGAACGGGGAUCGGUGACCCCGGUGGGGAAAAGGGAAGAUCGUUCAUAUGGACAGAAGCGGAGGUGCUGGUGCACAGACGUCAGGGUUGACCGGCUGCUAUCGGUUACACCCUCGGAGCCUGACAUCACACUGUACAGAGGGAACAGGGACCGGGGUCUCUGCCGCCAGCGCCAGUUCGUCCAGGUUCUCAUAACGCACGGGGAGCCGGGCUGAUGCGUAACAUCU
rnacentral:sRNA from 1 species